rnacentral:rRNA from 1 species
AACCAGCACCUCAAGUGGUCAGGAUGAUUAUUGGGCCUAAAGCAUCCGUAGCCGGCUCUAUAAGUUUUCGGUUAAAUCUGUACGCUCAACGUACAGGCUGCCGGGAAUACUGCAGAGCUAGGGAGUGGGAGAGGUAGACGGUACUCGGUAGGAAGGGGUAAAAUCCUUUGAUCUAUUGAUGACCACCUGUGGCGAAGGCGGUCUACCAGAACACGUCCGACGGUGAGGGAUGAAAGCUGGGGGAGCAAACCGGAUUAGAUACCCGGGUAGUCCCAGCUGUAAACUAUGCAAACUCAGUGAUGCAUUGGCUUGUGGCCAAUGCAGUGCUGCAGGGAAGCCGUUAAGUUGCCGCCUGGGAAGUACGUACGCAAGUAUGAAACUUAAAGGAAUUGGCGGGGAGCACCACGAAGGGUGAAGCCUGCGGUUC